rnacentral:rRNA from 1 species
CCCUUAGAUGUCCUGGGCCGCACGCGCGCUACACUGACGACUUCAACGAGUUUUUUUCAUUUGAAAAAGUCCUUGGCCGGAAGGUCUGGGUAUCUUUUAAAAGGUCGUCGUGAUGGGGCUAGAUUCUUGCAAUUAUUAAUCUCCAACGAGGAAUUCCUAGUAAACGCAAGUCAUCAACUUGCAUUGAUUACGUCCCUGCCCUUUGUACACACCGCCCGUCGCACCUACCGAUUGAACGUUCCGGUGAGACCAUGGGAUUUGGUCUUUGAUACUUUAUUGUGUCGUUGACCGAAAAACUUGAGCAAACCUUAACGUUUAGAGGAAGGUGAAGUCGUAACA